rnacentral:rRNA from 1 species
UGGGGAAUAUUGCACAAUGGGGGAAACCCUGAUGCAGCGACGCCGCGUGAACGAAGAAGGUAUUCGUAUCGUAAAGUUCUGUCCUAUGGGAAGAUAAUGACAGUACCAUAGAAGAAAGCUCCGGCUAAAUACGUGCCAGCAGCCGCGGUAAUACGUAUGGAGCGAGCGUUGUCCGGAAUUAUUGGGCGUAAAGGGUACGCAGGCGGUUUAAUAAGUCGAAUGUUAAAGAUCGGGGCUCAACCCCGCAAAGCAUUGGAAACUGAUAAACUUGAGUAGUGGAGAGGAAAGUGGAAUUCCUAGUGUAGUGGUGAAAUACGUAGAUAUUAGGAGGGAUACCAGUAGCGAAGGCGAGUUUCUGGACACAAACUGACGCUGAGGUACGAAAGCGUGGGGAGCAAACAGG